rnacentral:tRNA from 1 species
GGAGGGGGGGCUCAGUGGCAGAGCGCAUGCUUAGCAUGCAUGAGGUCCUGGGUUCAAUCCCAAUUCUUCUA